rnacentral:lncRNA from 1 species
CUUGCUACCUUCAGCCCGUUGAUCUAAUUUUCUCCUAACAACAGAAAGGCUCCUUCACUGUGAGAUAGAAAACAGCACAACCUUCCUGCACGCUGGAUGUCUCACAGUGCCGAUCUCUCAGAAGUCCUGGGACGUGACGAUGCCAUGUUGUGCUCUCCUUAACGCAUUGUUGAAUCAAAUGUGCUACAGUUACGAAGUCAUUUGACUUUCUUGAGCUAUACGCUUUAGAAGUGACGACGACUCUGACGGGCUCCGGCUUUGGGGCAGAUUUCUACUGAAUUGCUGAAAAUGAUGUAGUCUUCUAAAGGAAAACGUGAACACGCUUGAGCAGCAGAACACAAAUGACAAAAAUGAAACAGGAAGCAGAUGGCGUACUCAAAAUAGAGUAUUUCGAAGAGAUUUCUUUACACAGAGACUACUGAUGGAGAUGUGGAUGAGCCUCAUAUUGACUGGGAGCGGCCAAGCUGUUAGCUUCCUGAAGGAGAUGAAGAAAGUUGUGGCCGUGCCUCCAAGAAUGAGCUGAGGGUGC